rnacentral:tRNA from 1 species
GAGGGUAUAGCUCAGUGGUAGAGUGCCUGCUUAGCAUGCAUGAGGUCCUGGGUUCAAUCCCCCGUACCUCCA